rnacentral:rRNA from 1 species
GCCUUCAUGAAGCUGGAAUUGCUAGUAAUGGCAGGUCAGCAUACUGCCGUGAAUACGUUCCCGGGCCUUGUACACACCGCCCGUCACACCAUGAGAGUUGGGAAUACCCGAAGCCUGUGAGCUAACUUAUAGAGGCAGCAGUCGAAGGUAGAAUCAAUGAUUGGGGUGAAGUCGUAACAAGGUAUC